UACAGAGGUCCCAAGCGUUGUUCGGAUUCACUGGGCGUAAAGGGUGCGUAGGUGGUGAGGUAAGUCGGAUGUGAAAUCGUCCGGGCUCAACCCGGAAAUGGCAUUGGAAACUACCUUGCUGGAGGAUUGGAGGGGGAUUGGAAUACUUGGUGUAGCAGUGAAAUGCGUAGAUAUCAAGUGGAACACCAGUGGCGAAGGCGAAUCCCUGGAAAAUACCUGACACUGAGGCACGAAAGCUAGGGAGCAAACAGG
rnacentral:rRNA from 1 species